CCCUUAGAUGUUCUGGGCCGCACGCGCGCUACACUGAUGCAUUCAACGAGCACACGCUUGGCCGAGAGGUCAGGCUAAUCUUUGAACGUGCAUCGUGCCGGGGAUAGAUGAUUGCAAUUAUUCAUCUUCAACGAGGAAUUCCUAGUAAACGCAAGUCAUCAGCUUGCAUUGAUUACGUCCCUGCCCUUUGUACACACCGCCCGUCGCACCUACCGAUUGAAUGGUCCGGUGAAAUUCUCGGACGCGAACGACAGAUGUUCAUUCGGAUGUCGUUUGUGAAAGUUAAUUAAACCUUACCAUUUAGAGGAAGGUGAAGUCGUAACA
rnacentral:rRNA from 1 species